UCUGAGCUGCUCUUUCCCUUCCUAACUUUUGCAGCCACGUUUUAAAACGAAAAGGCCAGGCAAAACCAGGCUUUCAAUACGGCCUCUUUAAUUGCGUGUUCUCGAGCCUCCGGUUUUCUACUUAUUUGGCUGGAAAGACACCAAUGCACUGAGUUAUAUGUGGUAAUAUUCACAGACAUACUCGUUGAUGCUUGACUCGGAGCGGGCACGUGAAGGCAGGUUUCUAAUCAGCGGAGCUGUCUUUAAAGACAUUUUCCCAGCGCUCUCCUGGAGCUGGGAUCCGACCUACCAAACAGAAAGUGUUUCCCCUGUUUUUCGUUAUCAAAUAGACCUUAAUAUUUAAAUCCAGAGAGCAGGCUUCCGUGGCGGCGCGGGGACAGAUUCAUCCCUGAUGAGGGCAAAGGAGCUCCGGCCGGCGCGGGGUCUUUUCUGCGCGGCUUUCCGGAAAGCAAUUUCCCGGCGGCAGCCGCAGCCGAGCAGGCAGAGCCGCCUCCCAGCCACCGGCCGGCCAAGGGCAAGAGAGGCCCCACCUUGCAGUCCGUGAGGCAGGCCUCUGAGUUCCCGACCGGCCUGCACCUACCUGAGGCCUCCCCAUCGGUGGAGAGAAGCGGCCGCCACUGAUCAGCUCCUUCGCCAUGUAUUUGUAGUUGCGUAAAUCGAGCUUUGUAUCUGCGGCUUGGAUACACCGCCACUGGCGGCUCUUGGGGAAGUUAUAAAACCCUUUCAAUCAGA